rfam:Echinostoma caproni strain Egypt genome assembly, scaffold: ECPE_scaffold0005205
UCCAAGGCCUUUUUAAAGGCCACCAUUGUUGAGCAGUAGUCUGUU